GGACUACUGGGGUAUCUAAUCCCGUUUGCUCCCCUGGCUUUCGUGCCUCAGCGUCAGGAAAUGUCCAGAGACUCGCCUUCGCCACUGGUGUUCCGCUCGAUAUCUACGCAUUUCACUGCUACACCGAGCAUUCCAGUCUCCCCUCCAUUCCUCUAGCCAGAUAGUAUCCAAUGCAGUUUCGGAGUUAGGCUCCGAGAUUUCACAUCAGACUUACCUGACCGCCUACGCACCCUUUACGCCCAGUGAAUCCGAACAACGCUUGGGACCUCUGUAUUACCGCGGCUGCUGGCAC
rnacentral:rRNA from 1 species